CUCUUCUUAUUCAUGAUUA
rnacentral:snRNA from 1 species